rnacentral:rRNA from 1 species
UACGGAGGGUGCGAGCGUUGUCCGGAAUCACUGGGCGUAAAGGGCGCGUAGGCGGCCAGCACAAGUCAGUUGUGAAAUCUCCGAGCUUAACUCGGAAAGGUCAACUGAUACUGUGCGGCUAGAGUGCGGAAGGGGCAACUGGAAUUCUUGGUGUAGCGGUGAAAUGCGUAGAUAUCAAGAGGAACACCUGCGGCGAAGGCGGGUUGCUGGGCCGACACUGACGCUGAUGCGCGAAAGCCAGGGGAGCGAACGGG